GACGAACGCUGGCGGCGUGCUUAACACAUGCAAGUCGAACGGAAAGGCCCUGCUUUUGUGGGGUGCUCGAGUGGCGAACGGGUGAGUAACACGUGAGUAACCUGCCCUUGACUUUGGGAUAACUUCAGGAAGCUGGGGCUAAUACCGGAUAGGAGCUCCUGCUGCAUGGUGGGGGUUGGAAAGUUUCGGCGGUUGGGGAUGGACUCGCGGCUUAUCAGCUUGUUGGUGGGGUAGUGGCUUACCAAGGCUUUGACGGGUAGCCGGCCUGAGAGGGUGACCGGCCACGUUGGGACUGAGAUACGGCCCAGACUCCUACGGGAGGCAGCAGUGGGGAAUAUUGCACAAUGGGCGGAAGCCUGAUGCAGCAACGCCGCGUGCGGGAUGACGGCCUUCGGGUUGUAUACCGCUUUCGCCUGUGACGAAGCGUGAGUGACGGUAAUGGGUAAAGAAGCACCGGCUAACUACGUG
rnacentral:rRNA from 1 species